rnacentral:lncRNA from 10 species
AAAAUGAUCAAAGCCCAACAAAGAGAUCAAAAGAGAGUCAGAAAGAGACCACCAGACAGUGCGUGAGAGAGAUGGGAAGCAGAGACGAGGGAGACUACAAUAACAGAGCCCUCUCUACAACUGCCUGCCUCCUUCCUCCACAGGGCCCCUGGGAAAUCCUUCAAAGGCAAGUGCAGCUGUUGCCAGCUCUGGGUUCUGUGGGGCCCAUAGGAUGACGUGGCCUGAGGCUUCAUCACUGGAGCCUGGGGCUUCAGCUUUCCAGGAAGUAAGUUUUGUGAUCGAAGGGACGGCUUUGUUUUCUACAUGUCCUAGCACUUAGGAGGGGUGCCUUGAGCACAGCAGGUGCACAAUCAAUAAUUGUUGAAUGAAU